rnacentral:rRNA from 1 species
AGCGAACGCUGGCGGCAGGCCUAACACAUGCAAGUCGAACGAAGUCUUCGGACUUAGUGGCGGACGGGUGAGUAACACGUGGGAACGUGCCUUUAGGUUCGGAAUAACUCAGGGAAACUUGUGCUAAUACCGAAUGUGCCCUUCGGGGGAAAGAUUUAUCGCCUUUAGAGCGGCCCGCGUCUGAUUAGCUAGUUGGUGGGGUAAUGGCCCACCAAGGCUACGGUCAGUAGCUGGUCUGAGAGGAUGACCAGCAACAUUGGGACUGAGACACGGCCCAAACUCCUGCGGGAGGCAGCAGUGGGGAAUCUUGCGCAAGGGGCGAAAGCCUGACGCAGCCAUGCCGCGUGGAUGAUGAAGGUCUUAGGAUUGUAAAAUCCUUUCACCGGUGAAGAUAAUGACUGUAGCCGGAGAAGAAGCCCCGGCUAACUUCGUGCCAGCAGCCGCCGUAAUAC